UGUGACCCAGCAGCAUCAGG
rnacentral:misc_RNA from 1 species